rnacentral:rRNA from 1 species
GAUGAACGCUGGCGGCGUGCCUAAUACAUGCAAGUCGAGCGAACAGACGAGGAGCUUGCUCCUCUGACGUUAGCGGCGGACGGGUGAGUAACACGUGGAUGACCUACCUAUAAGACUGGGAUAACUUCGGGAAACCGGAGCUAAUACCGGAUAAUAUAUUGAACUGCAUGGUUCAAUAGUGAAAGACGGUUUUGCUGUCACUUAUAGAUGGAUCCGCGCCGCAUUAGCUAGUUGGUAAGGUAACGGCUUACCAAGGCAACGAUGCGUAGCCGACCUGAGAGGGUGAUCGGCCACACUGGAACUGAGACACGGUCCAGACUCCUACGGGAGGCAGCAGUAGGGAAUCUUCCGCAAUGGGCGAAAGCCUGACGGAGCAACGCCGCGUGAGUGAUGAAGGUCUUCGGAUCGUAAAACUCUGUUAUUAGGGAAGAACAAAUGUGUAAGUAACUAUGCACGUCUUGACGGUACCUAAUCAGAAAGCCACGGCUAACUACGUG